GUGGGGAAUAUUGCGCAAUGGGGGAAACCCUGACGCAGCAACGCCGCGUGAAUGAUGAAGGCCUUCGGGUUGUAAAGUUCUGUCUUCUGGGACGAUAAUGACGGUACCAGAGGAGGAAGCCACGGCUAACUACGUGCCAGCAGCCGCGGUAAUACGUAGGUGGCAAGCGUUGUCCGGAUUUACUGGGCGUAAAGGAUGCGUAGGCGGACAUUUAAGUCAGAUGUGAAAUACCCGAGCUUAACUUGGGUGCUGCAUUUGAAACUGGGUGUCUAGAGUGCAGGAGAGGUAAGUGGAAUUCCUAGUGUAGCGGUGAAAUGCGUAGAGAUUAGGAAGAACACCAGUGGCGAAGGCGACUUACUGGACUGUAACUGACGCUGAGGCAUGAAAGCGUGGGGAGCAAACAGGAUUAGAAACCCGAGUAGUCC
rnacentral:rRNA from 1 species